rnacentral:tRNA from 1 species
GGUUGUGGCUCAGUGGUAGAGUGCUUGCCUGGUAUAUGUGAAGCACUGGGUUCGAUCCUCAGCACCA